UGAGUACGAGACGCUACGGCGUUGAAGCAGUGUAUGUCAGACUUCCAAGAAAAGCUCGCAAUGUCAUAAACAAAUAAUGCCUGUACCAUAACCGACACAGGUGGGUAGGUAGAGUAUACUGAGGGGCGCGAGAUAACUCUCUCUAAGGAACUCGGCAAAAUGACUCCGUAACUUCGGGAGAAGGAGUGCCUUAUUUUUAUAAGGUUGCAAUAACAAGAUCCAAGCAACUGUUUACCAAAAACACAGGUCUCCGCUAAGUCGUAAGACGAUGUAUGGGGGCUGACGCCUGCCCAGUGCCAGAAGGUUAAAGAAGUUAGUUAGCAAUAGCGAAGCUGAUAACUGAAGCCCUGGUGAACGGCGGCCGUAACUAUAACGGUCCUAAGGUAGCGAAAUUCCUUGUCGGGUAAGUUCCGACCCGCACGAAAGGCGUAAUGAUUUGGAUGCUGUCUCGGAGAGGGGCUCGGUGAAAUAGACUUGUCUGUGAAGAUGCGGACUACCUGCACCAGGACAGAAAGACCCUAUGAAGCUUUACUGUAACUUGAAAUUGAAAUUGGACUUUACUUGCGCAGUAUAGGUGGGAGGCGUUGAUUUUAUUCUUGCGGGAAUUUAGGAGCCAUCAGUGAGAUACCACUCUGGUAAUGUUAGAUUUCUAACUUUGUAUCAUAAUCUGGUCAAAGAACAGUUUCAGGCGGGCAGUUUGACUGGGGCGGUCGCCUCCCAAACGGUAACGGAGGCGUACAAAGGUUUCCUCUGAACGUGUAGAAAUCGUAUCUAGAGUGUAAAGGCAUAAGGAAGCUUGACUGUGAGACCUACAAGUCGAGCAGGGACGAAAGUCGGUCUUAGUGAUCUGACGAUGCUGAGUGGAAAGGCCGUCACUCAACGGAUAAAAGUUACUCUAGCAUAACAGGCUGAUCUCCCCCAAGAGUUCACAUCGACGGGGAGGUUUGGCACCUCGAUGUCGGCUCAUCGCAUCCUGGGGCGGUAGUACGUCCCAAGGGUUGGGCUGUUCGCCCAUGAAAGCGGAACGCGAGCUGGGUUCAGAACGUCGUGAGACAGUUCGGUCCAUAUCCGGUGUAGGCGUUAGAAUAUUGAGAGGAUCCUUCUUUAGUACGAGAGGACCGAGAAGGACAUACCUCUGGUGUACCAGUUAUCGUGCCAACGGUAAACGCUGGGUAGCUAUGUAUGGAAAGGAUAACCGCUGAAAGCAUCUAAGUGGGAAGCCUACCUCAAGAUAAG
rnacentral:rRNA from 1 species